rnacentral:rRNA from 1 species
UACAGAGGGGGCAAGCGUUGUUCGGAAUUACUGGGCGUAAAGGGCGCGUAGGCGGCCUGCUAAGUCGAACGUGAAAUCCCCAGGCUCAACCUGGGAACUGCGUCCGAUACUGGCAGGCUUGAAUCCGGGAGAGGGAUGUGGAAUUCCAGGUGUAGCGGUGAAAUGCGUAGAUAUCUGGAGGAACACCGGUGGCGAAGGCGGCAUCCUGGACCGGUAUUGACGCUGAGGCGCGAAAGCUAGGGUAGCAAACGGG